rnacentral:sRNA from 1 species
UAGCCACAGGGGGGACAGGUCCCGUUGCU